rnacentral:pre_miRNA from 1 species
AGUGGGAUAGCUGGGUCAAAUGGUGGUUUCAUUAGCAGUUUUCUGAGGAAUAUUCAUACUGCUUUCCAUAGUGUUUGCACCACUUUGUAGUCCCAAGAGCAAU